CCGGUUGAUCCUGCCGGAGGCUACCGCUAUUGGAGUUCGAUUAAGCCAUGCGAGUCGAGAGUCUUAGGGACUCGGCGUACCGCUCAGUAACACGUGGGUAACCUGCCCUAUGCUGGGGAAUAACCUCGGGAAACUGAGAAUAAUGCCCCAUAGUUCACUACGCCUGGAACGGUGAGUGGAUGAAAGCUCCGGCGGCAUAGGAUGGGCCUGCGGCGUAUCAGGUCGUAGGGGGUGUAACGUACCCUCUAGCCAUCGACGCGUACGGGUGUUGGGAGACAUAGCCCGGAGAUGGAUUCUGAGACACGAAUCCAGACCCUACGGGGUGCAGCAGGCGCGAAAACUUGGCAAUGCGAGAAAUCGUGACCAGGGAACUCCAAGUGGCUGGGGUAAGACCCAGUCUUUUCUUGACUCUUCAAAGGUCUUGGAAUAAGAGGUGGGUAAGGACGGUGCCAGCCGCCGCGGUAAUACCGGCGCCUCAAGUGGUAGUCGAUUUUAUUGGGCCUAAAACGUCCGUAGCCUGUUUGGUACAUUCGUGGGUAAAUCAACCAGCUCAACUGGUUGAAUUCUGCGAGCACGGCCAGACUUGGGACCGGGAGAGGUGUGGGGUACGCUCAGGGUAGGGGUAAAAUCCUGUCAUCCUGAGCGGACCACCUGUUGCGAAGGCGCCACACUAGAACGGAUCCGACGGUCAGGGACGAAGCCUAGGGGCACGAACCGGAUUAGAUACCCGGGUAGUCCUAGGUGUAAACGCUGUGGACUUGGUGUUGGGGAUUCUCCGAGGAUUCUCAGUGCCGAAGCGAAGGUGAUAAGU
rnacentral:rRNA from 1 species